GGCCGAUUGGCUCAAUGGUAGAGCGUCCGCCUCCUAUGGUAGUUCCCUCUCGUGUCUUCUCACGAUUGAAUGAUCCAGCGAUGUUAGCGGAAGGUUGUGGGUUCGAGUCCCAUGUUGGUCG